rnacentral:rRNA from 1 species
UGAGGAAUAUUGGUCAAUGGGCGAGAGCCUGAACCAGCCAAGUCGCGUGAGGGAAGACGGUCCUAUGGAUUGUAAACCUCUUUUGCCGGGGAGCAAAGAGCGGCACGUGUGCCGCGCCGAGAGUACCCGGAGAAAAAGCAUCGGCUAACUCCGUGCCAGCAGCCGCGGUAAUACGGAGGAUGCGAGCGUUAUCCGGAUUUAUUGGGUUUAAAGGGUGCGCAGGCGGCGCGUUAAGUUACAGCGGUAAAAGUUUCGGGGACUUUAAGCCCCGAUACCGAGCCGUUCGUAAAACUGGCGUGCUAGAGUGGGCGAGAAGUAUGCGGAAUGCGUGGUGUAGCGGUGAAAUGCAUAGAUAUCACGCAGAACUCCGAUUGCGAAGGCAGCAUACCGGCGCCCCAACUGACGCUCAUGCACGAAAGCGUGGGUAUCGAAUAGGAUUAGAUACC